AGACCGAAGUUAAAAUUCUGUGCCCCAAAGAAAAUUUUCCGAAGCCAGCACCACAGGCUGUAGAGUCCCUCUAAAUCUUAAACGGGCUGUGAGGUUUAAGACGCAAACUCCAGUCCUGACUUGGCUUCUAGCAGAGUGACCUUGGAUGGUUCACAGGAUGCUUCCCGGGACAGCUCAUCACCUGUCACGAGGAGCUGGAAUAAAUGAACCCUGAAGUCCCUUGUCUGUACAGCCUGUGAUUCCAGGCCAGCUCCAGUUCUCUGGGAGGAGCCACAUCACCGUCAGCCGGGCCUGGAGAGUCCGGGAGGAAUGGAGUCGGAACUGCUUGCCCUCCUCCCCCAAGAGAUCCCAGAGACCUGAGACUACCAGCUGGACAACCAAGGUGCCCCUCUGAUCACCAGAUUCCCCCACAAAGACCACCUAUUAGCCACCGAUGUGACUUCAACAGGCCAGAAAACCGGGCGGCCAUUUUGUACCAUGCCUACAACAGAGGCAUGAGACCCGAGGGGACAAUGCUGGAGUCAUAUGUGAAAUGGACACAGGUACAAGAACAUCUGGUCAAGCCGGACUCUGCGUGGUGCAGACAUGAUGCUUUCCUAAGUCAAGGCCAAGUCUGAGGCUUCCUGUGGAACUGGGCGUGAGCCCACCUCAGCAACACUGGGGAGGAAAGAGGGACCAGGGAAACCAUGUUGGCCCCCAGAGUGGGUGCCAAGCCUUUUCCUGGGUACCCUGGAUUCUUGACAAACAUCCAUCUCUCUCCAAACUAAACUAGUCCUAUUCACAGAA